rnacentral:tRNA from 1 species
GGGGAUAUAGCUCAGUUGGUAGAGUGCUUGCCUUGCAUGCACAAGGCCCUGGGUUCAAUUCCCAAUUCCACCA